GGCCGCGGGAAUUCCUUUCAGGCCUAACACAUGCAAGUCGAACGAAUCGAUCCCCUUAGCUUGCUCCAUGGAAAGGUGAGUGGCGGACGGGUGAGUAACACGUGGGCAACCUGCCCAUCAGAGGGGGAUAACACUUGGAAACAGGUGCUAAUACCGCAUAAUUGCUUUUGUCGCAUGAUGAAAGUAUGAAAGACGCUUCGGUGUCACUGGUGGAUGGGCCCGCGGUGCAUUAGUUAGUUGGUGGGGUAACGGCCUACCAAGACCGUGAUGCAUAGCCGACCUGAGAGGGUGAUCGGCCACACUGGGACUGAGACACGGCCCAGACUCCUACGGGAGGCAGCAGUAGGGAAUCUUCGGCAAUGGACGAAAGUCUGACCGAGCAACGCCGCGUGAGUGAAGAAGGUUUUCGGAUCGUAAAACUCUGUUGUUAGAGAAGAACAAGUGAUAGAGUAACUGUUAUCACCUUGACGGUAUCUAACCAGAAAGCCACGGCUAACUACGUGCCAGCAGCCGCGGUAAUACGUAGGUGGCAAGCGUUGUCCGGAUUUAUUGGGCGUAAAGCGAGCGCAGGCGGUCUUUUAAGUCUGAUGUGAAAGCCCUCGGCUCAACCGAGGAAGGUCAUUGGAAACUGGAGGACUUGAGUGCAGAAGAGGAGAGUGGAAUUCCAUGUGUAGCGGUGAAACGCGUAUAUAUAUGGAGGAACACCAGUG
rnacentral:rRNA from 1 species